UAUUAUUUAUUGAUGCAACAAUAAUGUUGGAAAUGAGUCAGGAUCGGGAGAUAGCAGCUAUAACAACCUCUUAUUGUGUGCAUCUUUUUUAUGGUAAUG
rnacentral:SRP_RNA from 1 species